CUCCACCACUCCUAUUUUGGGGAAAUAUCGGGAGAACGUUUUGGGGAAACGCUGGAAACACUUUUCCCUUUUAUCCGACUUUGCGUCUUAGCACCGCGUGCGCUAAGCUCAGGGCGCAAAGUUGGGCCUGGGAGAUGGCGAAUGCUGGCUGCCUCGCCACUGCGGCCGGUGACCCUCUCUUCACAGCAGCGGCUCGGCAGCCCAAAUUCGCACGUCUCAUACUCCGCCCGGGUCUCAUACUCUAGGCCAUCGGAGCCACAGGUGAGGAAAGGCCUUUGGCUUCUCUGCAGGGCUGGUGACGAAGGAGUGAGAGGGGAAUGGCAGCUCCCACCAGUUCCUGCCUUUGAGACUCUGAGGCCAAGACGAAGACGUCUGGUAAUUCUGACCUUUGGUGUUUGCAUUACCAAAGGCCAAACACCUUUUGGAGUAACAGGACUGAAGGACGAAGCUCAGAAGCUUUGCUAUUCAUCAAACAAACCUUGGCAUGACAGAAAACACUGAUUUGGAUAAUUAUAUCAGCAUUUUGGUGUUUCUCCCCCCAAAGAUUAAUGUUUAACAACGGAAAAUGCAGGAAGGAAGCGGUGGGUGUUGGGCACUGGGAUUUUCCCUGUGUUUCGUGGCAGCCAUGUGCCUCCUGCCCUCAUCCUCAGAUAAGACAUGGCCUUGCUUUUUCUUUUCUUUUCUUUUUUUUCAAGGUUGAGUAGUUUCAGAAUGGAGACUGUCUGCUGGGAAACUCUAAAAAUGCUGCUGACUUCACCACUCCCCUGUGCUCAAAAUCCAUUUAUGUCCAUUUAUGUCCACUUGUGGUGCCAGCUGAGUCACUCCAGGACAGUUCUUAGCAUUUCUGCAUCUUAUGAUUUGCAAAGAGGAAGGACGAUACUUGCCCAGAGAGUUCCCUGGUGGUCUAAUGGUUAGGACUCGUCACUUUCAUCGCUGGGGCGCCGGGUCAGACCCUGGUCUGGAAACUGAGAUACCACAUCAAGUUGCAACAAACAACAAACAAAACAAAACAAAGCAAUAACAUGCCCAGUUUAUCUCACAGCACUGUGUUAGCAAACAAGAGAAUCCGUGGGAGAAUCCUAUUAAAUCAGUGACAUUCAGUGUGGAGACAGAGGCGGGGCAGAAAAUGGUGAGGCAGGCCAGUGAGAUAUGGCCUGUGAGGUCAGCCAGCCGACCUGGUGUGGAGUUCGGGCCAUUCUGAUGGGCUACGCAGCCCUGGAUUUAAGACUGGGUCUCCUCUUUUUACUGAAUGAGGUAAAUUCUUCAACGUACAGAAUUAUGACGGUAAAUGAUACACAUAUGUGAAAACCCUCCAAAAUGCUCCUCUUAUCUUUUCUAGCCUUCAUAUUAUCCCUUCUCUCUAUCUUAGAACCCACGGAAGAUCCUCAGACCAAAGCGAGGAGCUCAGACUAGCAGACAGGACAGUAGAAAACCAGAGAGAGGUCAUUAUGGCACCGGAAGAAAUGAUAAGUUAACAAAGGAGGAAGGAAAGAGAAGACGAGGGGAAUAACAGGUGGGUGGGCCUAGUUCAAGGAAGGGCUUUGAAGCUGUGUCAAGGAGUUUAGCAUCAUCUAGGCCAGUCAUUUCCAGGAUAGACUAAAAUGUCGCAAAAUCGGAGUGCACUUCUAAGGGGAAAAAGGGUCCAUAAUCUAUAUAGAGUGAUUUUCGGAGGCCAGAGAAAGCCCCAUGACCCCCCCUUUUUUUUUCUGCUUUAGGGCCACACCCUCAGCAUAUGGAAGUUCCCAGGCUAGGGGUCAAAUAGGAGCUACAACUGCUGGCCUACACCACAGCCACAGAAUGUGGGAUCCGAGCCACGUCUACACCACGGCUCAGGGUAACGCUGGAUCCCACCCACUCCAUGAGGCCAGGGACUGAACCCACAUCCUCAUGGAUACUAGUCGGGUUCGUUUCCACUGAGCCACAAAGGAACUCCCUGACUAUGUUUUUUAACUGUUCCAGAACCUGGGUAGGAAAGAUGGGUAUUAUUUAUUAUUGUCUCAAAACACUGUAAGCAUGUGACCCCAGAUUUAAUUCUGCAUCCUUUGUCUGAGGUUGGGAAUUACUCCAUUCAGUGAUUCCUUUCUGCGCCCUCAGUGAUCUGGGUCGGUUUAGAAGGGGAUCUGGACUGACUACAUUGCACAUCAAUAUAAAUGCACCUUUUAGGAGUGGGCAGAAGUAGGGCUGGAGUCUGCUGUCAGCAGCCAGGGGAACCAGCAUUGGGCAGGGGCAGAAUGGGAUUGAUGGUAACCUGCUGUGGACCUUAGGGAAGUGACUGGGGCUCUCUGGGCCUCAGAGCCCUUUCAGCCUUAACCCCAUGAUUCUAUUCUUCAAACUCUUUCCAUAUGUACAGUGGAAUAUUACUCAGCCAUUAAAAAGAAUGAAAUAAUGCCAUUUGCAGCAACAUGGAUGAACCUAGAAAUUAUCAUACUAAAUUAAUUGUCAGACAGUGAGAGACAAACAUCAUAGAAGAUCACUUACAUGUGGAAUGUAAAAAAAAAAAAAAAGGACACAAAUGAAUUUAUUUGCAGAACAGAAACAGACAGACUUUGAAAAAUUUAUGGUUACCAAAGGGGACAGGUUGGGGGAAGAAGGGGUGGGUUGGGGGUUUGGGAUAGAAACGUUCUAAAAUUACCUUGUGAUGAGAGUUGUACAACUAUAAAUAUAAUGAAAUUCAUUGAAUUAAAAAAGAAAAACUCUUUCCUAAGAGUGGAGGGCUAAAGGGUGGCCUGAUGAGGGCACUCGAGGAGAAGAGAAUGUUUUCACAGAAUGGGGGCAGGAGGGGGCGUGGAAAGGAAAGGGG
rnacentral:lncRNA from 9 species